rnacentral:rRNA from 1 species
GACGAACGCUGGCGGCGUGCUUAACACAUGCAAGUCGAACGGAAAGGCCCUGCUUUUGUGGGGUGCUCGAGUGGCGAACGGGUGAGUAACACGUGAGUAACCUGCCCUUGACUUUGGGAUAACUUCAGGAAACUGGGGCUAAUACCGGAUAGGAGCUCCUGCUGCAUGGUGGGGGUUGGAAAGUUUCGGCGGUUGGGGAUGGACUCGCGGCUUAUCAGCUUCUUGGUGGGGUAGUGGCUUACCAAGGCUUUGACGGGUAGCCGGCCUGAGAGGGUGACCGGCCACAUUGGGACUGAGAUACGGCCCAGACUCCUACGGGAGGCAGCAGUGGGGAAUAUUGCACAAUGGGCGGAAGCCUGAUGCAGCAACGCCGCGUGCGGGAUGACGACCUUCGGGUUGUAAACCGCUUUCGCCUGUGACGAAGCGUGAGUGACGGUAAUGUGUAAAGAAGCACCGGCUAACUACGUG